AUGGCCUCGGCCGCCCGCGCUCGCGCCCCCCGCCCCCGCCGCAGCCGCCGGCCCUCCGCCGCCCCCCCGCUGCCGUCGCGCUGUCUCUCCGCGCCGCUCCCCGCCCCGCGCUCCGCUCCCCGCCCCGCGCUCCGCUCCCCGCUCCCCGCUCCCCGCUCCCCGCCCCGGCCCCGGGAAGCCCUCGGCCGGCCGGCCGGCCCGGGACCCGCCGCCGCCCGCCGGGCUGCCCCCGGGGUCUCCGUGCGUCUGUCCGUCCGCCCCUCGGUCCCCGAGCCCGCCUCCCGUGUCUCCCGGCGGGGGCUCGGUCUGCUGCCCGCCGCCCUCCCAGAGCCUCCCCUGCCUCCCUCCGCCUCUGCCCUGUCUCGGUCUCCCCUGCGCGUCUCUCUCUGUCCUCCUCCCGGGCGCCGUCUGUCCUUCUGCGUGUCUCUCCCUCCCUCCCACUCUCGGUGCGGCCCCCGCUGUCUCGGACCCAGGCCCGCGCCUCCGCCGCGUCCCCGGCUCGCCCGGGAGCCCGAGCUCCCGCCGCCCGCGGCGCGCCGAGAACUCCCAACUCGCGGCACGCCGCCCCGCUUUGCGAGACUUUCGCCCCUCCUCACACGUGACCCGCGCCCCAGUGCGGAGGCCGCGCGCCCCCCCCCCCGGCCCCCGAGCCCCGGGCCCCGGGCGGCCCGCGGGGCCCGGCCCGGCUCCUUCCCCGCGGCGCAGCGGGGCUUCAAACCCCCUGGGCCCGCCGGCCGCGCGGGGCAGGGCUGGGGGCCGAGGGGCCGUGGGGCCCCGCUCCUGCCGCGGAUCCUGCCCGGGUUUUCCUCCUCCCUCCGGGAGCGCUCCUCCCAGAACCCAUUCCGAGAAUCCGCUCCGGGUUUUGCAACCCCCGGGGGCAGGUCGGUAGGGUUCCUCCGGGCCGGGAAGGGGGUGCGUGGGAGAGGGUCUGUACUGGGUUCGGAGGCUCCGGGCCACUUUGCUCCGCGGUCCCCUUCCCCUCCUGCAGUACCGGCACUUAAUGACCCCACGUACUGUGCUCCGGGAGCCGGGGGCUGGCGUGCAUGGCUGCAGGGGACCCUCACAGUCACCUAG
rnacentral:lncRNA from 1 species